UAGGGAAUCUUCCGCAAUGGGCGAAAGCCUGACGGAGCAACGCCGCGUGAGUGAUGAAGGUCUUCGGAUCGUAAAACUCUGUUAUUAGGGAAGAACAUAUGUGUAAGUAACUGUGCACAUCUUGACGGUACCUAAUCAGAAAGCCACGGCUAACUACGUGCCAGCAGCCGCGGUAAUACGUAGGUGGCAAGCGUUAUCCGGAAUUAUUGGGCGUAAAGCGCGCGUAGGCGGUUUUUUAAGUCUGAUGUGAAAGCCCACGGCUCAACCGUGGAGGGUCAUUGGAAACUGGAAAACUUGAGUGCAGAAGAGGAAAGUGGAAUUCCAUGUGUAGCGGUGAAAUGCGCAGAGAUAUGGAGGAACACCAGUGGCGAAGGCGACCUUCUGGUCUGUAACUGACGCUGAUGUGCGAAAGCGUGGGGAUCAAACAGGAUUAGAUACCCUGGUAGUCCACGCCGUAAACGAUGAGUGCUAAGUGUUAGGGGGUUUCCGCCCCUUAGUGCUGCAGCUAACGCAUUAAGCACUCCGCCUGGGGAGUACGACCCCAAGGUUG
rnacentral:rRNA from 1 species